GAUGAACGCUGGCGGCGUGCCUAAUACAUGCAAGUCGAGCGAACGGACGAGAAGCUUGCUUCUCUGAUGUUAGCGGCGGACGGGUGAGUAACACGUGGAUAACCUACCUAUAAGACUGGGAUAACUUCGGGAAACCGGAGCUAAUACCGGAUAAUAUUUUGAACCGCAUGGUUCAAAAGUGAAAGACGGUCUUGCUGUCACUUAUAGAUGGAUCCGCGCUGCAUUAGCUAGUUGGUAAGGUAACGGCUUACCAAGGCAACGAUGCAUAGCCGACCUGAGAGGGUGAUCGGCCACACUGGAACUGAGACACGGUCCAGACUCCUACGGGAGGCAGCAGUAGGGAAUCUUCCGCAAUGGGCGAAAGCCUGACGGAGCAACGCCGCGUGAGUGAUGAAGGUCUUCGGAUCGUAAAACUCUGUUAUUAGGGAAGAACAUAUGUGUAAGUAACUGUGCACAUCUUGACGGUACCUAAUCAGAAAGCCACGGCUAACUACGUGCCAGCAGCCGCGGUAAUACGUAGGUGGCAAGCGUUAUCCGGAAUUAUUGGGCGUAAAGCGCGCGUAGGCGGUUUUUUAAGUCUGAUGUGAAAGCCCACGGCUCAACCGUGGAGGGUCAUUGGAAACUGGAAAACUUGAGUGCAGAAGAGGAAAGUGGAAUUCCAUGUGUAGCGGUGAAAUGCGCAGAGAUAUGGAGGAACACCAGUGGCGAAGGCGACUUUCUGGUCUGUAACUGACGCUGAUGUGCGAAAGCGUGGGGAUCAAACAGGAUUAGAUACCCUGGUAGUCCACGCCGUAAACGAUGAGUGCUAAGUGUUAGGGGGUUUCCGCCCCUUAGUGCUGCAGCUAACGCAUUAAGCACUCCGCCUGGGGAGUACGACCGCAAGGUUGAAACUCAAAGGAAUUGACGGGGACCCGCACAAGCGGUGGAGCAUGUGGUUUAAUUCGAAGCAACGCGAAGAACCUUACCAAAUCUUGACAUCCUUUGACAACUCUAGAGAUAGAGCUUUCCCCUUCGGGGGACAAAGUGACAGGUGGUGCAUGGUUGUCGUCAGCUCGUGUCGUGAGAUGUUGGGUUAAGUCCCGCAACGAGCGCAACCCUUAAGCUUAGUUGCCAUCAUUAAGUUGGGCACUCUAAGUUGACUGCCGGUGACAAACCGGAGGAAGGUGGGGAUGACGUCAAAUCAUCAUGCCCCUUAUGAUUUGGGCUACACACGUGCUACAAUGGACAAUACAAAGGGCAGCGAAACCGUGAGGUCAAGCAAAUCCCAUAAAGUUGUCCUCAGUUCGGAUUGUAGUCUGCAACUCGACUACAUGAAGCUGGAAUCGCUAGUAAUCGUAGAUCAGCAUGCUACGGUGAAUACGUUUCCGGGUCC
rnacentral:rRNA from 1 species